UAUCGGAGAUGCUUGCUCUGGUGACCAUACUGCAUUCACAACUUUUUUCUUUUGAUUUUGCAGUUGUCGGGUCCUGUGUUCGGUGGUGUUGAAUAAUCAUCCUCAUUGUGACGAUUGUGGCAUGCUAGUGCUACAUGCCCCUAUUUACUACAGAUUUGGCAGACCGGCCUUUCUCCUCGAUACUUUCCUUUUUCUCCUUGAUGUUUUACCAUAUUAACCUCUG
rnacentral:lncRNA from 1 species